GCCAGGCAGGGUGGCGCACGCCUGUAAUCCCAGUGGCUCAGGAGGCAGAGGCAGGAGAACAGUGAGUUCAAAGCCAACCUCAGCAAAAGCAAGGUGCUAAACAGCUAUGUGAGACCCUGUCUCUA
rnacentral:sRNA from 1 species